GGCAAGAAAUAUAAUACAAAAAACUCGAAACUUGUUCCUGGUGGUGGUGCGACAAAACUGACUGUUCAUCCAUUGAAGGCAUAGAAAAGGUCUUGGUGUUUGAACUACUAUGUAGUAAGUUUUUGCGGAGUGGAUUGUGUUCGUUGUUCAAAACAAGCGGUUCUCGUGUUGACAAGUACAAUUUGAGUCAAAUUUAGUCGUAUAGAUAACUGUAGUCAUGUAUAGUUCCAUGUAGUUAUAUAUAUUUGUAUACAAGCUAUGUGGUUUUUCUGAUGUAUAGUGAUCUUGAUGAUUGUAUUUUUUUUUUCACUUUUUUGUUAGGCAUAAAAUUAUUUAUAAUAUCAAGAAUCAAAUUUUGAAUUUU